rnacentral:tRNA from 1 species
GGGAAGGUGGCUCAGUGGUAGAGUGCUUGCCUUGCAUGCAUGAGACCCUGGGUUUGAUACCUGGGCAUGACCU